GCGAGAAGAGCCUCUUCUUGGGAGCCCGAGAGGAGGGAGGCUGCUUGGCGGGACGACUCUGCUUCACAGUUCCCUGUUUUUCCGCCUCUAAAGCAGCCCUCACCGGGGUGUCCGUCCGGCCUUAGGGUAAGGCCGGACGAUGUCCGGGCUGAAUUCAACGGCCUCUCCCUCAGGCCGGACAGCUUCGUCAGGCCCGGCAGCUCGAUCAGGUACAUCCAUGCCUGCCAAAGGACACAUUUAAAAAAUACACACUUUUAAAUAAAUGUUUAUAAACACAGCUUCUCUGCCGUCCACUACCCUAUGGACUUAUUUUAUGAACUUGGACUUAUGGGACUAUUUACUUAUCUAUUAUUAACCUUUGUUUAAUCCUCUGUUGCUUCUGAUGAACAGUUCCUACCUGAAGUGGCACCUGGAGAAGCGCUGACCUCAUCACCCGAAGCCUGGGGAGGAGGACGGUCUGUCGAAUAGGCUCCGGCGAAGUCCUUUUCCUCAAAUGCAGAGGGGUUAAAAGGCCAGAUCCCUGGACUUGAGAACCCGGAGGUGGGACGUGUGAUUGUCCAGCAGGAGGAGCAGCUUCGACUCCUUGGACACACGGGUGUGACUGGUGAAGUGGGCCAGGUACAGGAGGAAGUCUGGCUCCUUCAUCCAGCCAGUUGGGUUGCCGCUGCCAGCACAGCCAACGGGUCCACCCCUCAGGAAGUGGUCUUUGAACCGCUUACGGGGGAAGAUGAAGAAUGGCGGAACAAGGUCGCCCUGAGCAUUGCCUGCCAGGGCAACUGUGACCAGGGUCCCCCUCUCCGCUGAGGUCACUGACCCGACCUGCUUCUGCCCCAUCUGGGCGACGACACGGUCUGGCACCUGGACAGUGGUGACCCCUGUAAAUAGUUGUGUGAGUAUAGUUUUGUGUAUAUAUAUAGUUGUGUGUGUAUAUAGUUGUGUUUUAUAUUAAUAAAGUUCAUAUUAAAUACC